rnacentral:lncRNA from 1 species
GUCGUGGCUAUAUUUAUUGUCUCUCCCUGCCAACCUCAGCCUGGCUUCAUAUAGAGCAGAGGGCCCGGGAGGCUGAGCCUGUGAGAAAUGCAAAUUCUCGGCUCCACCUCAGACAUUCGCAAUCAGAACCUCUGGCCUGGGGACUGGGCGCUCUGUGUGAGCGAUUUCUUGGGAGACUUGCAUCUCGGCCAGUCUGAGAGCGCCCAUCUGGAGAUCCUAACGUGUGACUCGCCCCCCGACACUCACCUUGCUCUCUCCCUGCCCCGCCUCAUUCCUGGAACAGUCCGCGCUGCAGGUGUGGGAAGAAAGUAAGCAGCUGUGGCCCUGAAGGCAGAGCGGCUGAGACAGUGGACGUGGGAAUGAAUGGCCACUGAAUCUCUUGACCUAGAAUUGUGCUCCUAGAGAAGGCUUUCCACCUUCCCCCCGGGGCCCAUUCAUUGAGGACGACUUGGGUACUUUGGUGGCAAGCAACAGAAGUGGAUUCUGCUACCUUAAUGAAGAAAAAAAGAAGAUUAGCCCUGAGCUAACAUGUGCUGACAAUCCUCUUCUUUCUACUGAGGAAGACUCAGCCCUGAGCUAACAUCCGUGCCCAUCUUCCUCUACUUUAUAUGUGGGAGGCCUCCACAGCAUGGCUUGGCAAGUGGUGGCUGGGUCUGCACCCAGGAUCCGAACCAGCAAACCCUGGGCCGCUGAAGCAGGACAUGCAAACUUAACCGCUGCACGACCAGGCCAGACCCUUUUCCUACUUUCUUUUAAAUCUUUUUUUUAAAAUUUAAAUUUAUCUGACUUUGUGUCCUAAAUACAUCCCAAUGGGUUCCUGUGUAGUGGUGUGCCCCUCUGCCUUACGUCCACAUCCUCAUUUUCCUAUCUUGUAUCACUGCCUCUCCUUUUCUCAUCUCCCUUUCUCUUCUUCUCUCUCCUGCCUCCAUUAUUCCAGGCCCCUCUGGAGCACAAUCAUUUCUCUAGGGAGUAUUGGUGGUGAUCAGAGAAUCACAGAGAAGUAGAGGGACCCACAGGCUUUCACUUCCAUUGUUAGAGCAGAAAUAGAUGCUGAGGGGAAAGGAACUGGGCAUCAGGCUCCCAGGACAACUUAAAGGGCAGUGCCUUUAAGGGGGUGGAGGGGGCUCCGCUCACCGAGCAUCUGGAUCUUGCCUGCUGAGCUCAGUUAGUGCUCUCUGAGCCUCUGUGAGAGCUCGCAGAUGCCCACAGGUGAUAUCAUUAGUCCUCGUGUUGGAGGAUUGGGGCAGGCAGAAAAUGGUGGCAUUUGGAGCUUCCAAUAGAGGGCCUGCACUUUGCACGUCCAGGGGAGUUGUACUCUGAUCAGAUUAGGAGGAAAUGUAAAGGCACCUGGUAACAACGCUGUUUGUUAUAGGGCAGAAAUCAGUGCAAAUCAGGCUGGCCCUGGCUCUCUGCCAAAGGAUUUUAUUUCCUGAAUCACGAAAACCAUUUCCCCUUGAGACUGUGCCAUGGCCCCAACCUCCAGCACAGAACUGCAGCGAGGCUCCAAGGCCACUGCCCUUUGGGCCGCACUUGUGGUGCUAACUUUGUUCCACUUAGGGGCUUCCUGAGCCUUGCUGCAGAACACCCCUAAUUGCACUGGGCUAUCUUUCCCUGGACCACAGCAGUCUGAGGUGCUGCUGCUUCAGCGAAUGUCCAGUGCCUGGCUGAUGGGGCCUGGAGUCAUGUCCCAGGGGGGCUGGCUGCACAUGUGUGGUGGAAGGACCCACAGCCAUCCAGAGUGGAGGCUGGAUGCUUGGGGACACUGGGAGAAGACAGGGUGCAGCAGACCCACAGUGGGUGGUGGAUCCUUUUGGGAUUUCUGUCCCACGGUCUCAGGAGCACGCACCGUUCGAUUCCUUGGCUCGCUGCAUCCUUGGGUGGGUAAUCCGAGUCCUGCAGGGCUGGUAGCUGCAGCCACGAAGCCAGGGUUGCUCUGUUUUUUCUCAACAGUUAGCAUGUCCCAGCUCUUCUUCAAUGUCAAAAUGUUUUCCCGUGAACACCAGGGCUAGCAUUUCCCCGCCCUAUCAGCCCUAGCAACCAGAAGCCCAGUUUCCAGGAAAGCAGCCACUUGAUCCAACCUGGUGGAACCCACUCCCCAGCUCAGCAACUCACAUGGCAUUUACGCCCCAGUGCUCCACAGCAGAGUGUUUUUUUAGCUGCGGCCACAUGACAUCAUUUCCAACUGGCCAGCCUUCCUCCUGCUCCCCCACACAGCAGCCCUCCGCCCCCAGCCUUUCUCCUCUGCACAGUCCAGGGUGGUAGUUUGUGGAGGGGUGGGAAUGCGUUGGGCUUUUUUUGAGGGGCUAAUUCCCUUUGUUUCUCGAAAUAUCCCAGCCCUGGCUGCUCUCAUCCCUUCCCUGGGUAGAGAGAGCGUGGCUGGGGCUCCAGGAAUGCACGACUGCUCGCUGAGACAGGGCUCUCGCUGAGCCUGGGGGGCCGAGAUGGGUGGCCCUGAGGAAGACCCUUCCCUUCAGUGGGGCGCCUCCCUCUCUGGUGUGAAAUGGAAAUGCUGUUUCUCUGAACCCUGCAUCCUGUGAGAUGCUUGAAAAAAAUAACAGUGAUGCUGACAUGUGAUUGUUAGGUGCCUCCCACGCCUGGCAAUUGUCUUUGAGUACAUUUGGUGGUACUUUGGUGAGCCACGAAAAAGCAAGCCUGUGUCUUGUGAUAUGAAGAGGUUCUUUUCCUAACCAUAUAUGUCUCCCCCAGAGAACCAAUAAAUAAUGUGGUCCCUCUGGCAGGGCUGUCUUUCCACAGCUGCCCCAGGAGCCCUCUGGCCCCCGCUCGCUGCUUCUCCUGUUUCAAUUUCCAUGUCCUCUCCGUUUUGUAACUCAAGGAGCUCCUCGGGCUCAGGAACAGCUGACAACCUGGCCAGCUCCCAGCCAUGGCAUCUGGGGAAGGGGCGAUGGGCACGGACUUGCAGGCAUGCUUUAGGGCACCCUGUCCCAGGCUGCUGUGAAUCACUGGAAGGUGAGCAAGGAUGUGUGCUGGGGCAUAGGGACCUCCGGUGCCAAACCCAGAUCUGGCAAGGCUGUGCAAGUGAGUAAGGAGAGACGGGGAGAUGAGGAAGAGCUUUUCUCAUGGGAGAAUCCCACAGACAGUCCUCUCAUCACAUCCUCAUCUUCAGCCUCCGUCCCCCCACCAGAAAUUCAGGGGGCACGCGUAGCUAGACUCUGCUCAUGUUGCUGAAUUAGAGAGCACAAAAGACCUUUGUAAACCCAUCACACUCCAGCCUAUUUUACAGAUGAAGAAAGUAAAGCCCAGAGGAGAAAUAACUUGUCCCAAGUCAGGUAUGGCUGGGGCUUAAACCCAGCUUCCCCUCAGAGCCCUGCUCACCAGAGAGCUCAGGGGCUGCCCGCUCUGCCCGCCCAGCCCCCCACCCUGUGCGUUUCCAUCCUGCCCCCAGGGAGGUGAGUGCACCCUGGGACAGUGGUAAGGGGGAGCUGGUGGAUGAAAGGCAACGAAACCCAUGGAGUUCAUUCCUCUAGCCCGGCCCCUCUACCCGGCUCUGCUGACCCCUCCUGCUGCACUCCCCUGACCCCUUCCCAAAGUGAUGGCUUUUCCUUCUGGGUCAAACUAAAUGCUGCGCCCUCCUAGCCCCGGGGGAGGGACAGGCUGAGUUCCAGGUUAGGGUGACUGGGAAGAACACUGCGCUGUCGCUGCCUCCAGCUGUUCUUUUAUUACCAAGCGCCUGGGAGAAGGGAGCCAAAAGGGCCCUCAGAAGCAAAGCAUGUCAUUUGGGGAGUGGCUGGCGAUGCCGGUGUUGAUGGCUGAGCGUCACAGCCGCAGCCAAAAAGCCCCUGGACUCUGAUUCCUCCCGUCGCUAAGAGCAGGAGUGGUAAUCUUGGAGAACGCCCUAAAGGUGACCGCAGGGCCCGAGCUGCUCCAGCUACGGGCUUUCAGGGCAUCUUCCCUCAGAGUUCUGGAACGCCAUGCACUUGUUUAUCUGCUCGGAGAGCGGCGUGCCCGCCCCCUCUGCCUACCUCUGCCUCUCCAUGGGCUCAGCAUGCCACUGGCAUUUAAUAAAUGUUAAAAAAUAGCAACGUCUGAACCACUGACCUUCGCAUAAAGUCCUUUGAGACCACUGCCAGAGCAUUUCCUCCUUUGUGGGGCCAGACAACCCCAAGGCCCAGAAGGAGAAAAGAGAAACACACCCUCAGCACGGGGGCCAGGGACACCGUGGGUCCAGGUCGCAAUAAUGGAAUGGGGCCAGAUGCUUUCACAGAGAUGCCUGGGCCGUGUGCCCUCUGCCAACCAAGGGCAGUGGCUUUGCGUCCCCUCCCUGCAUCCCUCCAGAUGUGUCUGUGCUGAUGAUCCAGAGUUUCAGACCCAAGCACCGGGCUGAGGUGGGGCACUUCCAACACCCUCUCUUCAUCACCUGCCCCUCCCUCGCAAAGUCCCUUCCACCAUCGUUCGGCUGAGACUUCCUUAUCUGGGGGUGAAGGAUGAGUGGGACUGGGGUUUUCCAGCCAGUCUGAGUCUUGGGUUUCAUCCUCUUCCUUUUAAAAAGUAUUAUGCAGGCUUUUCUUUACCCACAGGCCUGGUCAGCGGAGUCCUGGCAAGUCUUUUAUAGCCAGCUCUCUCCCUUCCUCUUUUUCUUCUUCCCUAAAGACUAUGGAGAGAUGAAUAUUGCAGAGGGGAGGGGACCUGAGGGCCUGGAACUGGAAGACAAGCUUUAUGUAAUUGAUUUAACCUCCCCAUUGUACCGAUUUGAUAGGUGAGCAGUUGAGAUUUGGAGAGAGUAAGUAAGGAGCCCAGGGUGGCAGCCGGCAGGACCAGGCACAUCCCAGGCCGAUCGCGUGGGACCCAGAGUGCUGUCCAGGGCUGGAUGCUGACCCCUCUGGGGCUCACGGCAGGACAGGCACUGCUCCAGAUGCUCGAUGCGCUUGACCCCUUUUCAUCUCAGUGACAGCCUUGUGAGAAGGUAGCCAUUGCUCUCCCCAUUUUACGGAUGCAGAAACUGAGGCUCAGAGAGUUAAGUACCUUCCUAAAAUUGUCACUUUGGUUUCUGAGCCUUUGUGACAGCAGCAACAGAUAUUUUCUGGGGAUCCUGGGCAUCAUGGAUGACUGGACUGUUGGCCUGACCAGCCAUCCCUGUUGCCCAGGACUUGCCCAGUCUUAGCAAUGAAAUUUCCACAUCCUGGGAAACCCCUUAAUCUGGGGCAAACUGGGUGUGUCGGUCGCCCAUUAAAUGUUCCUCCGUCUCUUCCUCUGCCUUUCCCACAGUGCUUCAGAUCUUCAGAGCAACCCACCGUUAACUUCAGCCUUUUCCCUGGGAAAGACAGAGGGGGCUCUGGAGGAGGGCAGGUCCUAAGUCACGGGGUUAUUUGAGGAUUCCAGGGAGAAAAGUUCUCAGCACAGCGCUGGGAAGGCAAUGGAUGCCCACAAAUGGCCACUCUUGUUCUUAGCCGGAGGACAAGAAGAAUGGACAGGGAGAUGGGGAGUGACAGCAGAAUUGGGGGAUCUGGUGCAGUGGAAGGGAGCCCCUGAGGGGACACCUCCGUCUGCUGAGUCCCUACGCAGGGCCAGGCACUUCCAUCCAUCACCCGAGUCCUUGAGGCUGCGACUAGGUCUGGGAGACAGUCUGCAGGGCGUGGGUCCAGGUGAGGAGACCCAGGCUUAAGAAGGCCAGUGCUUGCCCCAGCGAGGAUGUGGGGAGCGAGGACUUGAAUCCACUCCAUCGGUCUUCGAAGCCUUGCUCUUAAUUAUGAGACAGGGCUGCCUCUUAGGGGAAAAGGGAUGGGGAAGAAGGCGCUCGAAAGGGACCUGGAAAGAAUGCAAGGAGGUGGAAGGCAGGAAGAAGCAGAGAAAACGGAAUCUCUAUGGGAGCUGGGAGUGUGAAGAGGUUUCCGGCCCAGUUCGUGAGAGUGGUCUCGGUGCGCCGAGUGCGCUCCUGUGGGCCAGGCCUUCUCUGUGUUUUCCUGUGUAUUAACCCAUUCAAGUCUCCCAAAUCCCAUGAGGUGAGUAUCAGCAGCUGCAGCAGCAUCUGCGUUUUACAGAUGAGGAGAGUGGGGCCCAGAGGGGUAAAGAAACUUGCCCAAGGUCACACAGCUAGUAGUGAUGUAGCUAGGAUUCAAACUUGUCUGAUGGUUAAGGAUCAGAGGAGUUUUUCCUUGUCCUUUUCUAAAACAGUUAUGCAGCCUUUACUCGCAAGCUUGGCUUGGUGGCGUUGAGGUAGUCUUCUCUUUCAGUCUGCUUCUCCCCUUCCUCUUUUACGUUCCUCCCUAAAGGCUGGGAAAAGACUAUUUUAGCCCCUCCACCUCUUUCUUGGCUCAGGCCUGAUCAGGAGUAGGACCGGUGCCUGUGUGUUGGGGGCCGGGGGGUUGGUGAUUGGUAAUCUCAGGUGCGUGUGUGGGACUGUGUGUGUGUGUGUUUGUGUGUUGAGAUCAAAGUUGCUCCAGGAAAAUGUGUACACCCUGGAGCUUGAAGAUUACCUGGGCCAGCCCCCUCUCAGCUCAUCUCUAAACCUUCAUGGCGAAUGUGCUUUCAGGAGCCUGGGGAAAGAGCCAGACCCUGAGAUCACCUGCUGGCUUUGUCCCAGCUCGCUGCUCAGGAAGCAGGCUUUGUGCAUCCCUUGCACCUGUGUCUGAUGGGAAAUUGGAGGCGGGAGGAGCCGAUCAGGAAAGAACCUGCGCUGGGUGUGGGUUCCGCUGCCCAGGCGAGCUCCACCCCUGCCCCACCCCUCCCGACAAAAGGCAGCUGUGAAUCACCAGCUCCCGCACCACCUCACCUGACCCACCCUCUUCCCAGCACCACCCCUGCCAUCACCUCCUCACCUGGGCACAUUACUCACCUGUCUCUGUCUGUUCCCCUCGCUGAGUCUGCAGGGGGCUUGUUCUGCGACCAGCCCUGCUGUGAACAGCAUAAUUGCGUAUGGCCCACACACCAAUAGGUUGUAAUUGUUGAACAAUAAAAGUGCAAUACCAGCCACAGUUGAUGGUCCAACUCAUACAGAGAUACAGAAUCAACUUCUGUAUAGUCGGGAGUCUGUUUCAGGUAGCUUUCACACCGGAAGUUCUCUUUCUGCUAACAAGUUAGGGAAUUAGAUCUCUACCAGAGCUACAGAGAGAAGCCAUUUCUCGUUAGAAAGCAUUUUGCAGAGCAGCCAGUAGAGGAGCGUGAAGCGCCUUCAACUACAACGUUGCAUGGAUGUCCGUGUGAAUUAUGGUCCACAGUGGUUGGAGUAACACAACACAGAAAUCAGUCUUUACAGCUCAUAGUAAAUACACAAUAGAAUGGUAUUGAAUAAAUGAAUAAAAAUUCUAUUACAAUGUCUGAAGAUGAAGAGUGAGAAACUGAGAAUUCUCUGUAUUGGAAUAUCAAUACUGAUACAAAAAUGCAAUCCAGCCUGGCUGGAAAGAUGGAGCAGUUUGAGAUACAGAAAUACAUCUUGAAACCAGGGUGGUGAACAAAAAGAAUCAGCAACUGAGAUACAUCCCUUUGCAGUAGCUAGAUAAAGGCGGGGUUGCUGUGUAUUGCUGCACAGGUUGUAUACUGCACAACUCCAGCAGAUAUUCUUUACAGCGACUGCAAUAUGCAGAGUGUUUUGUAAAGUCAUGGCACUGGAUAAGGGUUUUCCCAACCCCUUAGUGAGGGAUAUGUGGAAAGUUACUAUCAGAACAAAACAGUGCAUGUUAUUUAGACUUUGUCUAUGCAUCCAUUUGUGCCUACCUUAACUGUUUAGCAAAUUGCAAACAUAAUUCAUUCCUGUGGAUUUAGUCAUUUAAAAAUUUUUUUAAUAUAUCAUGAAAUAAUUAUAGAUUUACAGGAAGUUGCAAAACAAUGGACGAGGAGGUCCCACAUACACUUCAUCCAGUUUUGCCCAAUAGUAACAACUUGCAGAGCUAGAUUUAAAAUCUAAACCAGAAGGUUGACAUUGGUGCAACCCACAGAGCAUAUUCAGAUCUCACCAGUUUUCCAGGCAGGUGUUUGUCUAUAUACUUCUGUGCAGUCCUAUCCCCUUAAACUGGCGGUAGAUGCUUGUAACCACCUCCACAGUUCAGAUACAGAACCGUUCCGUCCUAAGGAUGUCUCCCACCCCACGACACCCACCUCCAUCCCUAAGCCCUGGGAACCACUCAUCUGUUCUCUGGCUCCAUAAUUAUGUUAGCUUGAGAAUGGCACCUAAAUGGGAGUUCAAUCUUUUUUUUUCUGUCAAUCAUUUUUAAACUAAUUCUUUCACUGCAAAGUUCUGCCUUAAGGAUUUCUACACAAGCAUGUGUAAAGGAGAAGUACUCGAACUAGGGGGACCCAACAGAGAGCAAAGUCAAGAAUCUGGGGCCUGGAGGGGCCGGCAGGCAGGGAAACCAGGGAGCAUGUCUAUUUAGUGGGCACCGACUGUGUGCCAGGCACGGUUCAAAGACUGCACGCUGCAUCCAGAAAGGUGCUCGAGAGGCUGCCUCCUCUUCAGAGCUCUCUCCCACCCUCACCCGACACAGGCUCUUUCUGUCCUUUGCAGAAGCAUUUCCCAUUGGGUCACCAUCUCUUCCAGAGCAGGAGUAGCUCUUGCUACUCAGGGAGCUAGACAUGAACUAUGGGGCCUUUGGCCACCCCGCUGUUCCCCUUUGAUUUUCCCUUCCCUUGGGUGCUGAGCAUGCUCUGGCUGCCCAGGUGGUUGCAUGCCAUUCCUCUGCUUGUGGCCCUUGGAUUGCCCUUGCUGCCACCUCCCAGCCACUGGGACCAAAUGCUGUCUGGGAGCUGAAUGCAGGGAGCCUUCACCUCUGGCAUCGCCUUCUAUAGCCGCUAUGGCUGCCUCAGGUUCUCACCUCUGAAGACCUGGAGAGAAACACACACAACCAUUAUUGGCACCCUCAGCAUUCUCAGGAAUUAAAGAUUAAUGGAGAGGAACUCAUUGUUCUAAAUCCCCUGCUGGGUAUGAGAUUUAGGAAAUUCCCUUCUUGAGGUUAUUAAGUCUCAGUGGCCUGGUGGGGCUAGGUCUCCGGUGACACAACAUAAUUGGCCUAUUAUCUGGGAACUUUGGGCUGAAUUGGCACAAACAGACAUUGAGGGACUUUAGACCCAGGAAUGGAUUAUAGGGCCUGGUGAGUUCUUAUGUUGGGAGAUCUUUGAAAACAGAAGUGAACCUGAUGGGUCUGAGCAGUUAGGCGCGUCUUGCCUGAAGUCAAGGCAGAAGCUAAAUAUCGCCUUAGAGCUCUCGUUGCACUUUGAUUUUGAGAAAUCGCCACCUCUAUUUGUCAAUGGACCUAUGGCCUCAUGCAGAGAAGACACAAUCUUGGUGUUUCAGCUUUGCCGAAACACCAGUGAAUACACUAUAGCUAAUCUAUAGGCAGAAUCCUCCAGUAUGAUAUUCCAACGGUAUACUAGAUCGGAUGCUUACAACCGUUUUGAAAUUGGGAUACCUGUCAUUGUUUGAUCAGCAUCGUGGCCAAGUACCUCAGGUUGCAUAACAUGUCUACUUCACUUAUUGAUUGUGUUGGGAAGAUUUUGUUAGACCACUUAAGAAAGUGGGAGGCCUCUUGAAAAUCACAACAGGAGACUGUCUACAUUUAACCAUUCUUUCUAGGAUUAUCUUUUAGAAAGAUAAUGUGGCCCUUGGAUUCUUUCUAGGUUAGAACCUGAGAUCAUAAAACCAGAAGUCAGAAAGACUGAUGUUUGAGUUCAUGGGAGCUCAUAUAAGGAGAGAAACAAGUCAUUGGGUCAUUGUCACUGGGCACAUAAAAACUGUGUCAUUUCAUUCACCCCAAAUAUGGGCAGUUUGGUGACUUUAGAAAUUUACUGGUGACUCAUUCAACCUUUGCUCUUCAACCCUUUGCCUUGGAAACCCCCUCUUUCUUGGGCCCCUCCUUGUUAAUAUAGCCUAAAGUUCUUACGAGUCCUUCAAGGGAAGAAAUGGAUAGAUUCCCUUUAUGUGGAUUCCAGAUCAAAGCAAACAACUCGAAAACGAGAUCUGAAACCCGCUGACCCUAAAUGAAGCACUGGGAAUAUUCUGUUUACAAAUGAGAGCCCGUGAUGCCCUGGAGAUGUGAUUUUUCCAUAAAGGGAAGUCCUCAGAUUUAUUGCACAGACUUACUGUCCACCCUUUUCUCUUUGUAGCAAGUAUCCUUCUGUGAGAGGCACAUUAAAGACCCCCGCUCUCCUAUCUACAAUCCUAAAAUCCAGAAAGCUACAAAAACCAAAAGUGUUUUGUAUACCUGGUGCCAUUUACCAGCAAAAUCUGAUCUGAACUGACUUGAAAUUAUUUAUAUGUUUAAUUUAUCUCACCUACUAUGAAUCUUCAUGUUUCACUGCAGAAAACAUUAUGUUUGAACAUGGGGCAGUGUCCCAGGUCCCUGUGAGUGAUGUUAACUCUAUGUGGUAUAUGAGCCACAUUAUCUUUCUAAAAGUCUGAAAAAUUCUGAAUUCCGUAACACAGCUGCCCCAAGGGUUUUGAAUACGGGAUUGUGGACCUGGAGCACAGCGCUUUUUUUUUUUUCCCGUACUACACAAAUGUCAGAUGCCUUUCUUGAUAGACGAUGGGACCCAACCAGAUGGCCCAGCUUGUUAGGCCUUUAGUCCCCUGUCACUGACAAAGUCUAAGGCCACAUGAUCCCAUGUUAAACCCCAGACUCCAACGCUUCCUCUGCCCUGCCUGGCAUCCAAGCGCUGGUAGCUCAGCCUUUUCGGCUGGCUGGGCCCAGAGGUGACCACAGCACCGUGGGCCUGCACUUCCUGGAUUCCUUUUCCUACCCCUCAUGUGGUUUCUCCAUGUGGGAGAGGGAGAGUGGGUGGCCAGUGCUUGGCUCAUUGCUCCCAAGGCUUCCAGAGAGGUGUGUAAGACCUUAUGAUAAAUCCACUGAGUCAUUCACCCAUUCAUUAGUCAAUGUAUUCCUUCACUCAGUUAACGCUUCUUGUGCGCCUUUCGUGAUUUAGGUAUGCUUUAUUGAGAUCCUCAUGCAAAGAGAGCUGGGGAAGCUUGGACUCAGGAUUUUCUCAGACAAUGUUUCACAGAAUCCAAGAGAUGUUAGUGGAUUUUCCAUCUUCCAAUCUUUCCAAAAAAGAUUUCCAUGAUCAAAUAAGUCUAGAAAAUAAUGAGUUAAACAGGUUUCUUCGCUACAGCACUUUUCUGAGUCCUUGAUAAAGUAACGUGCGUGGCAAACUUCCAAAAGGGGGGGUUAACAUUGACCAGGGAGCACUUGCCCCUGGACCUCCAGGUCCCAAAUGGUUUCUGUAUCCCAUGGAGGCUGUAGGAGGAAUGAUGUGGAAGGUGACAGCUGAAUGGCUCCACAAAGCAAUAGGAAAAUGUCUAUCACGCUGUCUGUGUUUGCAGGGGCUGUAGGCUACUGUCACCUCUUCCAAGUACUCUGAAACAAUACAAACGUGCAGGUGGCCACCUGGGGCUAGUGGAGCAAAGAGAAUGCUCUUCUGGGGUCAUCCAACCUUGAAAAGUGAUAGCCCUUUCAGACCAAUUUCCAACUGAAUCUCUUUGAAUUUCUUUUACUCCUUGUGUAGCUUGCCAUCCACGGUGUUGUGCUGGGCCCAGCAGAGGACAUUAUUGCCCUUUGACCUGUUAGCAUGUUAAGAACCAAGAUUUCUCAUGAGCCAAGAAGACAGGGAAGACUGGAGGAGUCCCAUUUUCAUGACUGGUCUCACAGUUGAGGUAUGGUCUCUCCUAGGAAAACCCAUAAAUACACUCGAGUGUAGGGUUUUAAAACACUUUCCCGCAGUUGGAAUGGCAGUUUUACCUAUGGAGACUCAACACGACUUUAUGACUAACUCAUGGAACAACGUUUUGCUGGAGAUAAGACACAGCCUUGAGGUAGGUUGGGGCAGAGGGGACUCUUCAGUAUUUGCUUUCUUAAAAAGGAUCUGAGUUCAAUUCAGAAACUGAAUAAUUAUUAUUCCUGCCACUGACUUGCUCUCUGACAGGAAUUAUAUUACUUUAUUUCUAUUUGACUCUGUUGUGCCUCAGUUUCCCCAGAGGAGAAUGGGAAUUUGUGAGUAUGAAGAAAUGCCUGUGAACUUGGGAAUACUCCUGGAGUGGAAAAUUGUAGGUACUAUGAAAUGACUUUAUUUUUUUCAGUGAUCACUGUGUAGUGAGCACUCAACAAAGAUAUGACUAGGAUGUAAGAACGAUGAUCCGUGAAUCCUCAGUGGUCAGUGGAGGUGCUCAGUACUUGUUGAAUGCGUAAGUGACUGAUUAAUGACCAUCAGAGGAAAGAAGGAGGAAGGAAGGAGGGAAGAAGGGAGGAAGGAAGCAAGGUAGGAAGAGAAGGAAGGGAG